rnacentral:rRNA from 1 species
GGUGAACGCUGGCGGCGUGCUUAAGACAUGCAAGUCGAACGGCAGUCUUCGGACUGUAGUGGCGCACGGGUGAGUAACGCGUAACUGACCUACCCCAAAGUCGCGGAUAACGAUUCGAAAGAAUCGCUAAUACGUGAUGUGCUGUCAGAUCCUGUUCUGCCAGUAAAGAUUGAUUGCUUUGGGAUGGGGUUGCGUUCCAUCAGCUAGUUGGUGGGGUAAAGGCCCACCAAGGCGACGACGGAUAGCCGGCCUGAGAGGGUGGCCGGCCACAGGGGCACUGAGACACGGGUCCCACUCCUACGGGAGGCAGCAGUUAGGAAUCUUCCACAAUGGGCGAAAGCCUGAUGGAGCGACGCCGCGUGAGGGAUGAAGGUCUCCGGAUCGUAAACCUCUGAAUCAGGGACGAAAGACACUUCGGUGGGAUGACGGUACCUGAGUAAUAGCACCGGCUAACUCCGUGCCAGCCGCCGCGGUAAAAC